AUGCUGGGUGUUGACAGAAGUGAUUGUUUCCAGCAUCUUGUACAUCAUGUCUACCAACUUCUCAAGGGAUGGAAGGAGAAAAUCUUGUCUAUGCAAGGGAAGGAGAAUUUACUUAAAUCAGUUGCACAUGCUAUUCCUUCCUACGAUAUGUCAGUUUUCAAAUUACCCAAAGGAAUUUGCAAAGCCACUACAGAUGAAAUUUUAGGAUUUUGGUAGGGUGAUAGUGAGAAGAAUAAUAAGAUGCACUGGUUUGUGUCAUGGAAAAUGUGUGCAUCAAAGAGGAAAGGGGGAUUGGGGUUUAGAGACCUGCACAGUUUCAAUCUUUCUAUGUUAGCAAAACAGUGUUGGCGAAUACUCUAGAACCUGAAUUCUUUAUGUGCACGUGUGUGA
rnacentral:rRNA from 1 species